rfam:Gossypium arboreum cultivar AKA8401 contig_109156_1, whole genome shotgun sequence.
AUACAAUGAUGAGGGAACUUUCGUAAUAACUUCUUAAAUUGUUCCCAUGCCUCAUACAAGGACUCAUCAUCGAAUUGCUGAAACAAAACAAUUUCAUUUUUGAGCUU